rnacentral:tRNA from 2 species
GGACGGGUACCGAAGUUGGUCAAACGGGGCUGACUGUAGAUCAGCUGGCUAUGCCUUCGGGGGUUCGAAUCCUCCCCCGUCCACCA